rnacentral:rRNA from 1 species
UAUAGUCGUAGGCGGUAGACCCGAAACUGGGCGAGCUAUCCAUGGGCAGGCUGAAGCGAGGGUAAAACCUCGUGGAGGGCCGAACCGACCUAGGUUGAAAACUGGGCGGAUGACCUGUGGAUAGGAGUGAAAGGCUAAUCAAGCUCAGUGAUAUCUGGUUCUCUCCGAAAUAUAUUUAGGUAUAGCCUCGGGUAAAUUACAUGAUGGCCGUAGAGCACUGUUUGGACUAGGGGCCCUACCAGGUUACCGAAUUCAGGCAAACUCCGAAGACCAUUAUGCGUACCCCGGGAGUCAGUUGCUGGGGGAUAAACUUCAGUGUCAAAAGGGAAACAACCCAGACCGCCAGCUAAGGUCCCAAAGUACUAGCUAAGUGGGAAACGAUGUUCGAGUGCAUAGACAACCAGGAGGUUGGCUUAGAGGCAGCCAUCCUUUAAAGAGUGCGUAGUAGCUCACUGGUCAAGUGCUCGAGCGCGGAAAAAUGUAAACGGGGCUCAAGCUAGUCAC